UUUAUAGUUUUAGAUAUUGUAAAAAUUUUGAAAGAACUUACGCAUAAAAUAAUCAGAUUAAUAAUUGAAAAUGAGAAAACAAUUAAAACUUUAACAGAAUUGGAUCGUCGAUUCAGCUUAGAUCAAGAAGUAGAAACAGAAAAUAAUGAAGAUUAUUAAUAGAUUACCUUUAGCCACUGAGGAACAUCUUAAAAAUGGAGCAUUUCUUGUUGGAAAAGAAAAAUGAAAAAAAACUGUUGUAGAUAUUGGAAGAAAUUGAUGGCUCUACAAUAACAAAAAUGACUCGCAGAGUUAUGAAUACUCUGUUCAUUUCAAAAUUGUGUAUGAAAUAAAGGAAAAAGAGCACAUAAAGGCAAUUUUGGUGAAUUAAGAAUCUGCAAAGUAAUAGAAAAAGCCGUGAUAAGAAAAGUUCAUAGUAAUCAAGUAGAAGUAAAAAAAAUUAUUGAAAAGUGGCUUAUCAGAGCUAAAGAUAAAGUUAUUCGUAGCGAAACAAUACAAUGUUCAAGUAACGAACAUACAUAAAACUUUCUAUUUUUGUCGAUUUGAGCGAUUGAGUGCGAAUGAUUGUAUGAUGUGUAGUUAUUAGUUAAUGAAUUGUUAUAUCUUCAGUUAUAUUUUCAGAUUAUGAAUUAUUAUUUUCAGUUAUAUCUUCAGUUUAU